rnacentral:rRNA from 1 species
GGGUUGUGAGGUUAAGCGACUAAGCGUACACGGUGGAUGCCCUGGCAGUCAGAGGCGAUGAAGGGCGUGCUAAUCUGCGAUAAGCGCCGGUAAGGUGAUAUGAACCGUUAUAACCGGCGAUACCCGAAUGGGGAAACCCAGUGUGAUUCGUCACACUAUCAUUAACUGAAUCCAUAGGUUAAUGAGGCGAACCGGGGGAACUGAAACAUCUAAGUACCCCGAGGAAAAGAAAUCAACCGAGAUUCCCCCAGUAGCGGCGAGCGAACGGGGAGGAGCCCAGAGCCUGAAUCAGCAUGUGUGUUAGUGGAAGCGUCUGGAAAGGCGCGCGAUACAGGGUGACAGCCCCGUACACAAAAGCGCAUGUGCUGUGAGCUCGAUGAGUAGGGCGGGACACGUGGUAUCCUGUCUGAAUAUGGGGGGACCAUCCUCCAAGGCUAAAUACUCCUGACUGACCGAUAGUGAACCAGUACCGUGAGGGAAAGGCGAAAAGAACCCCGGCGAGGGGAGUGAAAAAGAACCUGAAACCGUGUACGUACAAGCAGUGGGAGCCCCACCACUAAGCCAGUGGUGAACUCCACAUACGCAUCCUUUGCUGAGGAUACGGUUAACGGAGCGAAAGCGACGUUCAACCUCAAAAGAAGCAGAGGGGGCUUAGUGGUGGGGUGACUGCGUACCUUUUGUAUAAUGGGUCAGCGACUUAUAUUCUGUAGCAAGGUUAACCGUAUAGGGGAGCCGGAGGGAAACCGAGUCUUAAUUGGGCGUUAAGUUGCAGGGUAUAGACCCGAAACCCGGUGAUCUAGCCAUGGGCAGGUUGAAGGUUGGGUAACACUAACUGGAGGACCGAACCGACUAAUGUUGAAAAAUUAGCGGAUGACCUGUGGCUGGGGGUGAAAGGCCAAUCAAACCGGGAGAUAGCUGGUUCUCCCCGAAAGCUAUUUAGGUAGCGCCUCGUGAAUUCAUCUCCGGGGGUAGAGCACUGUUUCGGCUAGGGGGCCAUCCCGGCUUACCAACCCGAUGCAAACUGCGAAUACCGGAGAAUGUUAUCACGGGAGACACACGGCGGGUGCUAACGUCCGUCGUGAAGAGGGAAACAACCCAGACCGCCAGCUAAGGUCCCAAAGUCAUGGUUAAGUGGGAAACGAUGUGGGAAGGCCCAGACAGCCAGGAUGUUGGCUUAGAAGCAGCCAUCAUUUAAAGAAAGCGUAAUAGCUCACUGGUCGAGUCGGCCUGCGCGGAAGAUGUAACGGGGCUAAACCAUGCACCGAAGCUGCGGCAGCGAACGUAUCACUUAAAGCGAUUCAGCGGGUUACGAUUGACGGAGCGAAGCGACGUCAAAGCGUAUACAAAGUCGAGUCGGUUUAAGGAUACGUUCGUUGGGUAGGGGAGCGUUCUGUAAGCCUGUGAAGGUGUGUCGUGAGGCAUGCUGGAGGUAUCAGAAGUGCGAAUGCUGACAUAAGUAACGAUAAAGCGGGUGAAAAGCCCGCUCGCCGGAAGACCAAGGGUUCCUGUCCAACGUUAAUCGGGGCAGGGUGAGUCGACCCCUAAGGCGAGGCCGAAAGGCGUAGUCGAUGGGAAACGGGUUAAUAUUCCCGUACUUGGUGUUACUGCGAAGGGGGGACGGAGAAGGCUAUGUUGGCCGGGCGACGGUUGUCCCGGUUUAAGCGUGUAGGUGUGUGUUCCAGGUAAAUCCGGUUCACUUUAACACUGAGGCGUGAUGACGAGGCACUACGGUGCUGAAGCAACAAAUGCCCUGCUUCCAGGAAAAGCCUCUAAGCAUCAGGUAACAUCAAAUCGUACCCCAAACCGACACAGGUGGUCAGGUAGAGAAUACCAAGGCGCUUGAGAGAACUCGGGUGAAGGAACUAGGCAAAAUGGUGCCGUAACUUCGGGAGAAGGCACGCUGACACGUAGGUGAAGUGAUUUACUCACGGAGCUGAAGUCAGUCGAAGAUACCAGCUGGCUGCAACUGUUUAUUAAAAACACAGCACUGUGCAAACACGAAAGUGGACGUAUACGGUGUGACGCCUGCCCGGUGCCGGAAGGUUAAUUGAUGGGG